UAAUGUGGUAUCACUGAUGUAAAUUAGUUGUAACAGUCGGAACGGAUUCAAGCACGGAUAUUUCGUAAAUAAUUGUAAAUAAUCGCAUUUUAUUCAUUAAAAGUGUAAAUUUUUGUCGGGAGUGCCGAUUAAAGUAGCGGGCGAUUACCGGAUAAUGAUAUUAUUUAUCGCGGAUAUUCGCGAUUAACGGCGUUCCGCCGAUUGUUUUGACCAGAUCAUAGAUCAUAACCGAAAUCUAUUAGCACGCCAUUUUAUGUUCAUUGUAGCAUUGUAAAAAUUCAACUUGCUAGAAUUAAAUCGGGUAAAACGGAAUUGUUGUUAUAUAGAUGUUUAUUCGUACGAUUUUUGCACAAUCAUUAAAACUAUCGUUUGUUUUAUUCGUUCGGAGUGGUCAAAUAAACCGUUGAAUCUACAAUUAUUUAUGUAAACGGUUGGCGGCAAAAAAUGCGUUUUAUCUCGCGUUUGUGUUUCGCGUACCGUGAUGUGAAUUCGUGAAUUUUGCAUAAAUAAAGUAUAAAAUGGUACAGAAGUUACCGAAAUGCUUUUGUUUGGUAAUCGGCAUGAUUAACAAUUCGAUGGGGCUGAUGGAAAGCGGUCUGAAACGGGAUUUACAGCGGAUGAAAUAAACUGCAGCAUUAGUUCUGUGGGGCAAUGUUGCGCGGCGAAGUUAACGAUCAAUGCAAAUAAACAACAUUUCAAAAAUCGACGAAUAUCCGAACAAUUCAUCAAGAAAUCUCCGUCGAUCAAGAUAUUCUAGAAUUAAUUUUACAAUUUAAGAGCUAGUCGAUUAAUCUACCGAUUAAUCGGUGCGAUAAGAUUUAUCGCGUGAUCACAGUUAAUGUAGAACGAUUGUUAGCUUCGAAUGCGCCAAUCUGAAAUCUCGAAAAUUUCGAGAUAAAUAAACGUAUGAGUGAACACGCCCCACCCAGGAAUCGUUCCGGCCUCAUCCUGCGCUCCUGUGUUGCUCCGUUCUCCUUUCUGCUUCCUCGGACAUUAAUUUCGUACAGCGUGUUGCAGGUGCGCCGUCAGGUAAGUACGUGCGAUAUUAUUGGCCAAUGUCGGGCAGACGCGAAACCCGAACUGUUGCGACUCGGCACGAUCCCCAUUAACCGUCCCAUAAACAGAUAAUCGUGAAUUUCCCGCCGAUACCGUCCGCCCAAUCAGAUAAGACGGUACGUGGAGAUACGAAAUUAUUGUCCUCGCAUUUCUCGGCUCGUUCGAGCCGAGGUUCUCUGGUGUAAGUGUUAAUUAAGGACAGAUCGCGAUUGGAUUGGCGAGACGUCUAUAUUCGCGACAUUACAUAUGCGUUUUAACUGAUAAACGAUUGAUCUUGGAGAAAUUUAGUUUCCAAUCGAUAUAUCGUUUAUUAUAUCCCAAGGUUAGAAUAUUAUUGGCUUAAACGAAGCGUAAUUUUCAAGUGUAAAAAUAAGAAUCCGGACAAAACAUGGG
rnacentral:lncRNA from 1 species